UUUCUUAGACAAAUGGCUGCAAACUCCAUGCUGGCUACGGGGAUAGCUGAGGACUGGCCAUCACUUAAAAGGAUGGAAAUUAACAGACAACAAAAUCCUUCACAUUCUACUUCAGAGCUUGAUCCUGGGAGCACUUCAGGCAUAAGAGUCCUACUCGUUU